CCUAACACAUGCAAGUGGAGGGGUAACAGGGGAGCUUGCUCCCGCUGACGACCGGCGCACGGGUGCGUAACGCGUAUGCAACCUGCCCUCUACAGGGGGAUAGCCCAGGGAAACUUGGAUUAAUACCCCAUGGUGCUUGGGGCCGACAUCGGCCCCUGGUUAAAGAUUCAUCGGUAGGGGAUGGGCAUGCGUUCUAUUAGCUAGAUGGUGCGGUAACGGCGCACCAUGGCGACGAUAGAUAGGGGCCCUGAGAGGGGGACCCCCCACACUGGUACUGAGACACGGACCAGACUCCUACGGGAGGCAGCAGUGAGGAAUAUUGGACAAUGGGCGGGAGCCUGAUCCAGCCAUGCCGCGUGCAGGAAGACUGCCCUAUGGGUUGUAAACUGCUUUUUCACGGGAAGAAACACCCCCACUUGUGGGGGCUUGACGGUACCGUGCGAAUAAGGAUCGGCUAACUCCGUGCCAGCAGCCGCGGUAAUACGGAGGAUCCGAGCGUUAUCCGGAAUCAUUGGGUUUAAAGGGUCCGUAGGUGGGCGAUUAAGUCAGGGGUGAAAUCCCGCGGCUCAACCGUGGAAUUGCCUUUGAUACUGGUCGCCUUGAGUUGUCGUGAAGCAGCUGGAAUAUGUAGUGUAGCGGUGAAAUGCAUAGAUAUUACAUAGAACACCUAUUGCGAAGGCAGGUUGCUAACGGCACACUGACACUGAUGGACGAAAGCGUGGGGAGCGAACAGGAUUAGAUACCCUGGUAGUCCACGCCGUAACGAUGGUCACUAGCUGUC
rnacentral:rRNA from 1 species